GCACAGCUCAGCUCUUGUAGUGCAGUCCUUGGUGAGGAAUGCGGCCGUACCCCUCACCUUACUGACUCACUUGCUACCAUCAUUUGAGGAACAUCGAAAAAUAUUCUUCUAAAAUGAUGUGUGAAAAGGCUUGAGGAAGUCCAUCUGGCACUUGUAUCAAAUGGGGCAACCUGAUUGUGUUCUGCUCACUUUUCUUUGGGGAGUGGCAGAGAGACAGCUUCCUCCCCCUACCCCCCAAAGGCAGUUCUAACUCUGCAGCCCUGUCUGAGUGGCUGCCCACAGGGCUCUGAUGGUGCAUUUCAUAGAACUGCUUGUGUUGGAAGGGACCUUAAAGACCUUUACUCCAGCAGGUCCACUCCAAAGCCUUAAAGCUCCUGUAAAAGAAGGAAGACCCAGGAGUAACUCACCAAACACGGCCGACAAGCACCAGCAGCCUUUAAGCGCAAUUAUCGCCGCAGCGCCUCACAUGGCGCUCAGCUGAGGCAAGGCUCAAGGCGGGAGACCCUUCCCUUCAGGAUGUUUCCCUGCGCGGCGGUGCUUCUGACGGUCGCCGGUGCGUGCGGGGCUGAGUGUGAGGCGGUGCUUUCGCGCUUCCCGCCCAGCCGGCGGCACGGGUCGGAGCUUGCUCUCAGGUGUUGGAUAUGUACCCUGCCUCAAAAGAUCUUUAGUGCUCUUCCAGCUACAGGGCAUAAGCCAUGCUGAAGAUAUCCUCCUUUUUGGCAUAAAGCCCUACUCAUGUUCUGAGGAGAGUUCUAGAGCAGUAUAUCCAUGCAGACCGCAGACCUCAUCCCUCCCCAGUUCUGGCCAACCAAAGAUCACUUCUAGAAUGACAUGAGAGGCUAGUAUCAGCAUGUGCGUGCAGGUGACUAUCUGGGAAGAAUUAUUGCAAGCAUCGUUAUAUUAUUUUGCUCAAAUGUAAUUAGCUAAGUUGCAUAAAUUUCAUCCCAAGGCCAUUAAAUGAACCACGAUGCUUCCACAAAUGUGUUAGACAUUUAGUGAGCUGCUCAAUGACACCUAGAAAAUUCUCAGGAUUUUUUUCUGUUAAUCUGUAAACAAAAUCAUUUAGUAUUGUCAGUCUGUAUUUAUCAAAAAGGGGGGAAAAAAACAGGAAAAAUAGCUCUCAUAUAUUGCCCUACUUAUGCAAAUGGUGCAUCUGGUACUUUUUGAAGUAUUGCCAGUGGUGAUUUCAAAACAGGCUUAAACACCUGCAGUCAACUGUUGGCAAGAUCAGUCAAGACCAUGUCCUGCCAUGGUUCAAUCUUUAUGGCAUUUUGGGAGAAAGCAAGCAAACACCCCACCUAUACA